rnacentral:lncRNA from 1 species
CUGGGUUCACUGCAAUGCCGUGAUCUAAAUAAGGCAAGCGUUUCUAAAAUACAAAAUUUUAUCUUUUGUUAGUAAAAAAGUAAAAAGUGUCUUUUCAUUUUCAAAGAGGGUUGAAAUACUCCGCUUUCAAUACGUGACUUUAGUGUAAGUAUUGGUGAGAAACACAGGAAAAAAUAAUGCGGCCAUUUAUUAUAUUGUAUUAACAGGAAGAAACUUUUAGUUAAUAGAACUACAAUUGCCACAGGCCUGCCUUGCUGGUACCAUAAAGCUGCCGAUAAACAGAGGUGCACUAGUACCUGUCGAUACCUGUCACCAGAGACGCACUGGUACCCUAUCGAUGCCGAUCAUCAGAGGUGUGCUGGACCCCUUAUGUCAUGAUGUCAACAUAUUGAUCAGGUGUUUUCAACCAGCACUGAUCGAUGGUUUUAAUGGAAUUCAAAGCUUGAUGGACAUAUCGUCUGUAUUUGUCCUGUCGUACUCACGGUAAAGAGCUCUUCAACACCUCUUGCACAAAACAAAAAGUCCUGGAUGGCCGGGCAGACGAAGACUUCAGUCAGGUUUGAAAUGGCAAGAAAACAGUUUUACGUUACUGAAAGACAUAGAAAAGAAUCGAUUGCAGAAACAUAUCAUCAUGCCGUCCUGUGUUUGUUAUUUCCAACAGAUGACAGUGCGAUGCGUUCCAG